CCCUUAGAUGUUCUGGGCCGCACGCGUGCUACACUGAGUGGAUCAGCGGGUCAGGUUGCGCGAAAGCGUUUCCUAAUCUUUAAAUCCGCUCGUGAUGGGGAUUGACGGUUGCAAUUUUCUGUCAUGAACGAGGAAUACCUUGUAAGCGCGGGUCAUCAUCCCGCGCUGAAUACGUCCCUGCCCUUUGUACACACCGCCCGUCGCUCCUACCGAUUGAGUGGUCAGGUGAGGCUUUGGGAUCUGAGCGGAAAGAGCGUUUCGCUGUUUCUGCUCGGAAAACUCAGUCGAACCUUAUCAUUUAGAGGAAGGAGAAGUCGUAACA
rnacentral:rRNA from 1 species